rnacentral:rRNA from 1 species
GAUGAACGCUGACAGAAUGCUUAACACAUGCAAGUCUACUUGAAUUUGGGUUUUUUAACUUAGAUUUGGGUGGCGGACGGGUGAUUAACGCGUAAAGAACUUGCCUCACAGCUAGGGACAACAUUUGGAAACGAAUGCUAAUACCUGCUAUUAUGAUUAUAAGGCAUCUUAUACUUAUGAAAGCUAUAUGCGCUGUGAGAGAGCUGUGCGUCUCAUUAGCUAGUUGGCGAGGUAACGGCUCACCAAGGCGAUGAUGGGUAGCCGGCCUGGGAGGGUGAACGGCCACAAGGGGACAGAGGAACGGCCCUUACGCAUACGGGAGGCAGCAGUGGGGAAUAGUGGGCAAUGGACCGAGAGUGUGAUCAAGCAAUUCGGUGUGCAAGAUGACGUUUUUCGGAAAGAAAAGAGCUGUCAGUUGGGAAGAAAAAAAUGACGGUACCAACAGAAGAAGCGACGGCUAAAUACGUG